rnacentral:rRNA from 1 species
AUGCUGACAUGAGUAGCGAUAAAGAGGGUGAGAGACCCUCUCGCCGAAAGACCAAGGGUUCCUGCGUAAAGCUAAUCUGCGCAGGGUUAGUCGGCCCCUAAGGCGAGGCCGAAAGGCGUAGUCGAUGGGAAUCUGGUUAAUAUUCCAGAACCUCUCGGGAGAUGACGGAUGGUAGACGUAGUUUGACCUUAUUGGAUUGGUCGGGCUGCCACGCUGUCCCUGGAAAUAGCCCCGAGAUUAGACCGUACCCGAAACCGACACAGGUGGGCAGGUAGAGAAUACCAAGGCGCUUGAGAGAACCGCGUUGAAGGAACUCGGCAAAAUACCUCCGUAACUUCGGGAUAAGGAGGCCCUUGCCUUGGGCAACCAGGGUGAGGGGGCACAGAAAUGGGGGUGGCGACUGUUUAUUAAAAACACAGGGCUCUGCGAAGUGGUUAAGACGACGUAUAGGGUCUGACGCCUGCCCGGUGCCGGAAGGUUAA